rnacentral:lncRNA from 1 species
AGGAAACGGGCCAAACCCACCUAUUUUGACCCACCCGUCGCCCUUACUAUAUAACAUCUUUAUAUUAUUUUCCCCAUUUCAAACCCUAAACCUAAGUAACAUAGAAACGGCGCCCGUUUGCACUGUUCAUGGUCUUCUUCACUAAGCCCAAUUUCAAAUGGGUCCCCCUCUUCUCAGGCGAGUUCACUCAAAUGGGCCCCCUCUUCUCCAUGUUAUUUUAUUCCAAACGGUCUUUUGUCAGAAAGGAACGAAUAUUCUCUCCGAAUUGUAUGAUUUUUGUACGAAAGAACGAUUCGCUAGAUGAAUGGGAGAUCGAUCCAUGCCUUCCAUUUGUCCCAAAAAUCGUUCAAAAACGUGAGGAUUUUCGGAUAUUUGGGGAGAAGCUUCGAGAUUAUUUUAAGGAUUAUAUAUAUGAGGUGAGUUUUCUUGUUCUAAAGAGAAGAAAAAAACAGAUAAAGAUCUAGGAAAAAAUUUCGAAAAUCAAAAAGGAUAAAAAAAAUUCUAGGGUUCUUGAGUUUUUUUAGCUUGAGUCUGUUUCUCUUCAGAAAACACAAAAAAAAAGAAGCAUAAAUGGUCUGAGUUCAUUUUUAUCCGAGCUUACUUCAUUUCAAGAGAAAAUUUCAAACAAAAAUCGCUAAAACAUAUUUCAUUUAGCAUUUAUUCUUUCUCUUGAUUUCUGGUUCUCAAAAGGAAGCUUGAUUUAAAGUUUAAGUUGGGUUUGAGCGUGGGGUUCGAAAUUUCAGUAUUGAUUUGGUUCAAAUUCGUCGAUUCCUGUUUUCUUGCUGCUGUUCGUUUCAAGUUUGGAGCCGUGGCUUUGUUCGAGUCGGUUUAAUUUGUUGUAAUCACUGAAGCUUUGUUAAUUGAAAGCUCUAAUUUCAGGUUCACUCUUUUUUUUUUCCCUAUUAUCAGAUGAUUCUGUGCAGUGAUUGCUUUCUUUGAGCUUAUGAGUAAUGUACUUCAAGUGCUGAAAUGUAAAUUUUUGUGCUUCGAUGAAACGAGCAAGUCUGUCUAUUCUUGUCUUGAGAUUGACCUCUUUUCUGAGCCGGAUUUGUGACUUUCUGUAGAUGUCUCCUUAUUCUUCUGAAAUUCUUACUUUUGUCUAGUUGUCUUGAGGUGUCCAUAUUUCCGGUAAAAAUCUUGUUUGGUGUUUGCUGAAAAGGAACUAAAAUUUUAUCUUUAGAUUGUAAAUUCCAUUUGAUUUUCUGGGCUAAUUUUUCGAGUGUCGGAAGUAAAACUGUGGUGCCAUGGUGAAAUAUUUGAAAUGGUCAUGCACUUUUGUUUUCUGUGAUCAGGCAUUGUUAUUCCGUUCCCAGAUAUGCAUACUUUCUUGAAGCAUAUGGUUUAGGAAGUUUAAUGUUAUCAGAAUCAUGACUUAUGAGUUGUGUUUGGCGUGGUUUAGAGUACCCUUACAAAAAUAAUGUUUUCCCUUGGGUAACUGCAUUUCCUACUGUCUGAAUGUGUUAAGAUAACUCCUGCUAAAGCUAAGAGUAUAAAGCAGUCCUUGGCUUAUGGGCAAUAUAUAUAACAUAAGUGAAGAGGAGAAUUGCUUUUGGCACAAGAUUCACAUUAUAACAUUGUUGUUCCUAAGUCCUGCCAUCCAAAUCUCAGUUUACUUCUUGUCACAAAAGCAUGGAGUUUGUUUCUUUUAUACUCAAAGUGCAACCUGAAGUUCUCAAGAAACAAGCUAUAUAAAGUUGGAUGAUUGUUAAGAGUAUGUUUCUUGUUAAUAUAAGGUAGGACUAUCAAGUUCAACACUUGGUUGAUGUAUAGUGUUAGGAAAGCAUUUCUCGCAUAGCCCCAGCAGUAUUUGACAGCCUUGGAGCAAUCUGGAUAAUAGUAAAAAUGUAACUGAUUUGGAAACUCCAUGAAUUUAGCAUGAAAAAUGUCGAAUUGGCCUAAGUCUCCUCUCUCUAAUUAACUUCUGGUGUUAGCAAGUCACUCUUGAUUAAGAUUACUUAUCGCUGAUGGCAAUUCAUAUGAUGACCAAAUGAUCAGCAUGCCUAACGUGAUGACAACAGUAGCGAGAUUGACUUAAUGUCAUUUGAUUUGCUGUGCAGCCUAUCUGAUUUUACAAGAGUAGCCUAUCCCAUCUUUAUAGCUAAUUGAAUUGCACACUGUAUUUGUGCUUUUAAUUGUCCAAUUAAUCUCAUUACUCCUAGAGUUUAUAGAUGCCUAUGUGACUGUACUGAAGCUACAGACUCUUCUAUCGUUCUUCCUUGCUGUAUAAAGGGAGUUUUUCCCUAUUGCUCACACCUCCUUUUUCACACCUCCUUUUUCACUACAAGCUACAAACUAUUGCUCACACCUCCUUUUUCACUACACCCCCAAGAGGGGUGUAUAAAGGGAGUUUUUCCAAUUAAAGGACAAUCGAAACGGGAUUUAUUGUCAAAAGAUUCAGAGUCGCCACUUGGGAGAUUUAUGGUGUCCCAAGUCACCGGUUAUAUCCUGAAUCGAGGAAAAGCUUGACUCUGUUUAACAGUACGCGAACCAGAAAUCCGGGUAAGGAAUUCUACUAACCUAGGAGAAGGUGUUAGGCACUCCCGAGCUCCGUGGUUCUAGCACGGUCGCUUUGAUUAUACUUGGCUUGACUAAAUUGUCUAAUUACUGAUUUCGGAACCUAUAUGCUUUUACCUUUCACCGCUUUUUAAUUAAGAAGAUUAUGUUGAAAAAGGUCACGCGCACGUGUACCCAUUUGUUUGGCACGUCGAAAAUCAUGUCACGCGAACGUGUUCACAAUUAAUAACGCAUUGUUAUUAUUAGGAAAGUUUGACCAAAGUUGCGCGAACGCAUACUCCGGUUUUGUUUUUACAAUCAUAAUCAUGUCACGCGAACGUGUCCACGACCAUGAUAAUAUGUUAAACAUGCCUAAAGCAAACUACGAUAACUUGUCAUAUUUACAUCUAAAUCAUAAGAAAUUAGUAGAGGGUCGUGCAUUUUAAUUUUGUUUGGCACAACGUACCUCAAUUUAUUCUACUUGAAAAGUCUCUAAGCCAAUUAGAAAUUCCCUACAUAGCUUACAAGAGAAUGUUAAUUUUAAAACAAGUGGGGUUCAAUUCAGCUCUUAAGCGAACUAACGUUUUAAAGGGCAAAAGCUGCUUCCUUUGGGCCCAGGGCGAGCCCAACAGCACGAUGGGAGCUAUCCCAGCUUAAAUUCUUGUGGCCACUUGCACUGGCCCGAUUGAUGGAGCUGGCAACUUCAACUCAAGUGGACUUAUGAUCCAAAAUCCACAAAGGCCCAAAUCAUAGAACCAGACGCAUCAAUGUACCCCUUAGAAUUAUUGAGCCACACGCUAUAGUCCAAUUUAGGGAUCCAAAUUAUUCCCGUCACAAUCAUAACCAUAUUGCUUCAAAAUAUUCCAGAAAUGCUAGACUAGAAUUGAUUAUCCUUAAGCAUGAUCAAAAUGCAUUUUGAUGUCAAAACCAAACUUGUAAUGAGGGUAUUAUCCUAUGAGACUUAUUCAUUAUCACCUUGUUACCCAGAAAUUAAUACUCUCUCUUGACUUUUAAACAAAUAGUAUUGUAUGGUUUGGAUUUCAGGCCUAACGAAACAAUCCCUAACAUGAAUUCCAAUUAAGAUAUGGUACCUUGUCCUAUACUUGUUAUUUCAGCAAGCUGGACGUAAUGAAUACCAAAGCACAAACUAGCUUCGAGUUUGACUGAAACAAAUAUGAACAUGCAUUUAAUUAAACCCUCUAACAUCACAAUUUCGAAAAUCCAGAUUCAAAACAUGCUAUACCAGAUUCAGUACCAAAACUUCUUCAUACUAAAUCCUAGUUUCAAACUACAGAGAAACAAACAAACUAAGAUAUUUAGGCAGUCAAUCCUUGUAAAAUGUUUAACAAUCCAUUUACAUAGCCAGAAUCCAAAUGUUCUUUCUAAAUGGCCAAAAACAAACCCAAGUCAUUGAGCAUGGGUGAACGACUUAACAUAUUUGAAAGAGAAGAUGAUAAUAUGCUUCAUAACAGGGAAAUUAAAGGUGUAAAGUGCAAAAGCUAAUAGAAUUUAACAUUUAAACAUGAUUUCUAUUCAAAUUCCAGCUUAGAUCUCCAACUUUAUGUAUAGAUUCAGUCUGGUUCUAACUUGUAGCACCUCAUUUGUUAGCAAAUGGUAUGAAUAAAUACCUGGGAAAAACAAAAUAAGCAGAAAGCAGGGAAUCAACAACAACAAAACAGUAUCCAACAAUAGAAAUCAGCUUAAACCAAGCUUGAAUGCCAAGUUUAAAACCCAAAAGACAACCCCAGGAACUUUAAAAUAACUCCAUACGCUAACCACAGGAAUGCUUAAACCAUUUCCAACUCAAUAUAAACUAGAGAUUUUGAUUCAGAACUGGGAAAGCUUCAAAGUCCCCCAAUGAAUUUCAAUAGAGCAAUAGUUUUUCUCUUUUAGCCGUUUCUUUUCUAUAUUUUUUCAGCCCUUCCCCCAAAAUCUGCCUUGAGUAUCAAGUUAGGAUGCCUUUAUAGGCAAACUAUUAGGGUAGCAUAAAAAGAAUUCAAAUUUGCAUUUUUAACCUUUUGAUAUUUUCGUUUCUGCUCAAAUACCCUUAGCUUAAAACUCAGAUUUUCAUAUUAGCCCCUACCCUAGCUUCCUAGAAGUUUCCUUAGGUUGUUACAAAAGAUUCUCUUACCUAUACUACCCAUAUUACCCUUAACAACCUUGUUUAUUACCCCUGGGACCUCAAAUGGGUCAUGGGUAAAAUGACCCAAUGAUCAAACCAGACCUGGGCUCAAAAAAUCCAUUCGAACUCUUUAGAAUGGUUUAUGAAAUAAAUUCAGAACCCAAAUGAAAUGAACCCAGGUUGAGCAGACUAUGGCAAACAACAGGAAAAAUGACUAAAACAUCUUUCAGAAAACUUAAAACCUAAGCUAAGGGACUAAAUUGUCAUAUAAUUCUAAUUAAACUAACAGGGCUAAACAAACAAAAUGAAAUCAAAAAUUAAUCGUGCUGUCAACAAAAGAACUAGACCGACCAAACAAAAAUCACAAAACCAACUUGGAACGGAAAACUGAGACGAAACAAAGCGGACAAUACUCGAUCUCAGCUAGAAAACUCGUUCAAUUUUAUUUUAAUUAACCGGAGGGAAAGAGAAGAAGAGAAGAGGAAAUAAAGAUGAAGGAAUCACAAGCGUAAACAAAAGGAAAGAAAGAAACUCACCAACUCGGGCUCGACCCUUAGACCGACUUUCCAAUUUAAACCCCGAAUAUCGUCAACUACUUGUUCUUUGUCGAAUAAUGCUAUUCCGUGGUAGAACUGGCCCGGAACACUCAUAGUAACUGGGAAAACACCAUUGCAUGCACAGCUUUAGCUUUGGCUUAUGGGGCUCGAACCUUAGACUUAAGAUUCGAGAUGUUCUAGCAAAAUUCGAGGGGAACGGAGUGUGGAUUUGGUACAAGGGGGUCAUGGCAGUUCUAUGGUGUCAAUUUGGUGGUGAACAGAGGCGCCGCCGCCACCGGAGGAAAUGAGGGCGGCGCUAGGGUUUGUGACUU